CUUUACAAGUAUUGCCUGAAUCAGAAAUGUCUCUGUAGAAAUUCCACAUAGUCCCUCCAUGUAGCCAUUUUACCUCAAUCCAAUUGUGAUGUCACCAAUAAGCAUCAACAGCUCUGGAUGUUUAGGGCUUUUGUUUAUUCAACUUUGCUUGCACAAGCUUUGGUCAUCCUGGUUCCCCAUUUCUCUGUCUCUUUAAUUUUGUCUUUGAGUUUUUCUUUUAAUUUUACACCAUAGCACUGCGCAGGAGAUGGGAACUUGCUGCAGGGGGCUCUGAUAAAGCUCAGUGGAAGGGGACAGGUUUUCAAAGAAGUGCUUUCCUACUUGGUGACCACUCAGACAUCAAGACAAGAGUACCCUGGCUCCUGUCCCUCGAGUCUACCGACUCAGAGAAGGAGGCAGCUCCUGUGACUGUGAAGACCUACAGUGGCUGCCGGGGCUCCAGUGUUCAGAAUCGUCCCAUAUCACCUCAUUGUCCCACUGAGGACUGGCCUGGACAGGGCCUUUCAUCCCCUCUCCAUUUCUCUCACUGAGAAAAGGUGAAAAAAGAGAACUCAACCAGCUGUCUUGCCUUUCCUCACAAUAGCCCACCUUGCAUCAUCCAAGAUGAGAAGAACCUGGAAACCAGCUCCAAAAGGAGACAUAAGCACCACAAAACCUGCUAACGUUUAUUUGAUGAGUCGCUUUUAGAAAGAGACCACCAGGAAACAUUUUGCCACAGCUAGCCAGGAGUAAAGCUCAGGAACUGGAGACCAAAGUCAAGGUAAGGCCCAUAUUGGGCACAAUUUUUGUUUCUCUUGGUGAGGCUUCUUUUCUUCACUCCUUCUUGCCCUCACUCUUUCCCCCAAGCCAGGAAUCCAGGGACUCCUCUCAAGGCACCAGGGAUGGGUUUCCUGGCCCAGCCAUGGGGAUAGGGGAAGGGAAUGUAGGCUGCUGUUUUUCCUUCUAGCUACUUGCACUAAAUUAACCUGUUCUCCAUUUACCCCACUUUUCAAAGUGGCUUUUCUUGGUUUGUGUUGCAUUUAUUUGCUAUCCUUGUGUGUGGGGGGGAUUAACCUGGUCUCUGCUUACUCCAGUUUUGUAAAUGGCUUUUCUUCUUCUAAGUUUGUGUUUUGGUAUGAUGCUAGGAUUAGGGAUGCCCCACCCUGGGUGCUUCUUUCUCAGUUUAUGUGAUGCUGGGAUUAAGGGUAAAACAGUAGGAUUAAGGGAGACUCAUCUUGUGUGUGGGUGGCACCAAUAAACAGGCUUAGAGCCUGCAUAGAUUCACACAUCUAGAUGUGGGCUUACAUCAACUGCCACCAUCUUUUUCUCUUUCUUUCUUUCUUUCUUUCUUUCUUUCUUUCUUUCUUUCUUUCUUUCUUUUUCUUUCUUUCUUUCUCUCUCUCUCCUUUCUUCUUUCUUUCCUUCCUUCUUUCUUUCUUUUUCUUCUUUCUUUUCUUUCUUUCUCUCCCCCUCCCUUUCUUUCUUCUUCCUUCCUCCCCCCUCUCUUUCUUUCUUUCUUCUAAAUGGCCUUAUGAGCCAAGUCCCUGAUUUUGGAGAACAAGUAGGAGGAAGCUCUUUUUUUUAUUUAUUUACUUUAACUGCCACUGCCAUGUGUCUUUUCCACAUGGAAAAUAAAAAGUCUGUAUGUUUUAAAAGGAAACACCCAAGGCUUUGGCUGAAGGAGGGCAACAGCGGGGAAGGCCUGUUCAAGCCAGCUUUAGCUGACCCACUUUCUCCAUGUCCUAAAUCCCAUCUGAAGCUACAGCAUCCUGGCUGGAUUUCUUCCAUGUUCAAGUGCAGGCAAUUUAAAACCUUAUGCCUGAUAACCUGAGCAGAAUGGACAACGUUUAAAAUUUAAUUGAAAAAACUGUGAGUACACAAAAACAGAGCCAUCCCCUUUCUUAGCCUUUUUACUAUCAGAGUAAAUACAAGAAACAAUUUUCCCAAUUGGCUCCAUUCUGCUUAAGUAGAAUCGUCAAAGGACUCAAAAUGCAAGUUGGACCAUCACUGGCUAAGGGAACUUGGCGUGGGGAAGUUAUGCCCUCACAUCAUGGGAGUUAAAGGACUAGGUAAGGGCAACAAGUUGACUUUGCCCCCUUUUCCCUAAUGAGUUAAUGGGUACAAAUAUGGAGACAAAAGCAAUCAGGGGGUUUCUUCUGUGCUUAAUGAUGCUGGCAUCACCUGGACAGAGACAUCUGUCUAGUCUGUGUUAGGGUCUCACAAGGGAUGCUUUGUGGAACCCUGGGGUCUCCUCUUUCUUCAUGGGAUGCCAUCUGAAGGAGCCAAGACCUAGUUGACUCCUUCUCUCUAUAGGCUCCAAGCCAAGCCAAUGGGAAAUCUCUUGAACCUCAUUACCACAUGGAUUUCACCACGUUUGCCACUAGGCCAUAUUCUUGAUGAGUGGGAAAGGUUUGAUCUUGACAAUCUAAAACAGGAACAACUUAUCUACUAUUGCAACAUGGUUUGGUUCAGUACAAAUUGGGUGGUGGUUAGAGAUGGGUAUGUGAUGGUACUUAAUUGUUUUAUACUAUGAGACUAUUCUCCAUUUAUAGCGUUUCUGCUUAAAACAUACAAGGUGGAAUGAAAUGCCUUAUGUUCAGGUUUUUGUGACUAUCAAAGGGAAUGCUCAGAUACGGUGUUUAGAGUGGCCCCCAAGGAGAAGAAAGAUAUACUGGAAGACGUGGUCCUAAGACCUCCCACUUGUGUCUCAGGGGGAUGUGGGUCUCUCUGAGCUGUUUGAUGGGACUGGGAGGUCUUCUCAACCUUCUUUUUAUAGUCCUCAGGUCAAUAAAUCAAGUCCAUCCCCUCCAAGUGACUCAGGAACUCCAUUAGAGCCUAGUGCCUCAGGGGAACUCAGCCUUCCUCAGCCCCCUUAUCAUGCUUCUCAGACAGCUUUAAGCAAUGCAGGUUGAACCUGAAGUGGUGCUUCUUACUAUGGUGGUGCCUCAGUUCAUGGACUUGGUUCUUUCCAUGGUUCUGGUCCCAAAGUUUGUUCCAUGAUUCUGGCUGCAACUGAACUGCAAGCACACAUAUUCUAUGCUUGUGGUUCAUUUGAAGCUGGAGUCAUGGAGUGAGUUCUGCAACCAGAUUUGUGGAGGGGCUUGAAUUUGUGAACCCAGGUGCCACUGGACUCAACUUCACAACUUAUUCUGCCCCUAAGAGAAAUCUGUUUUUCAGUUGCCAAUGUCCUGUACUGCAAAGGAUGACUAAGGCAACUGUCAGAGGACUCUAGUAAGUUUGAAGCUGGAUUUCAAACUUUGAUCCUUGCUUUUGAUUUAUCAUAACUAGAUGGCCAUUUCAUCUUGACCACUUGCUAUAUCCCAGAUGAAAGACAAAGAAUCCUACAAGAGGGUAGGAACUAUGCAGAUGAGCAAUAUGCUUUGAAAAGGGAAAGAAACUACCUUAGAACAGCUUUUUCUCCCUUCAACAGAACCAAACUGGGUCUAUAAGGCUGGUCAUGAAAUAGAAAUGAUGUCCAAUAUGCUGGCUGCUCUUACCACGGGAAUAAAGAGGUACAUUAAAGUCUGUUCAUUAUGAUACAGUGAGUGGGAUCAUACAGGGUGCAAAGGAAAUCCAGCCGUCUCCCAUAACGGAUUAGUAGAAGUCUUUUAUAAAUAUACUACUAUAUAUCCAUCUUCCAGAGAGAGUAAGCACUAGUGGGACAAUAUUUCAUCUGUCAAUCAGCCCCAGAUAUGUGGCAUAAGUUUAAAAAACUUCAUAUGGGGACACAGACACCUAUGGUCCAGUUUCUGGACAUGGCCUUUUCUGUGUUCAACAAUCAGGACCCAGAGGAGGAACAAAAGAGAAGGGCUAGGAUUAUGGCUGUUGUAAUUAGUGAUGGUUUAAAUCUACCCAGGUGGUCCAAGGAAAAACUCAGGGAUGGCUGGAGAAAGAGGUCCUGUUUCAAGUGCAAGAGGAUUGGAAACUGGGCAUGAGAUUGUACCAACCCUCUGCCUGGGCCCUGCUCCAUAUGUGAGGCAGGUAAAUGUGCCUGACUUGUGGUCUGACUGUCCCUACUCCCAAAGAGAGGAUAGAUCACCCAGAACCCUUAUUUCCUGCUCUGAUGACUGAAGAAGCCCAGAAGAACCUGUAAUGCCUGCAUCCACAGACAUCACCAUCUCCUCCGAGGAACCCUGGAUCAUCUUAGACUUCAUGGGUGAACCAAUUCAAUUACUUCAUUCUAUUUUGACUUACUUCUAUAGAAAACACUCCUUUGGAUCUAUAGCCAUAAUUGGGGUUGAGGGGACCCCUAAUCAGAGAUUCUUUGCAGCUCUACUAACAGAAGAAGCUGCAAAGUUAAUUUUGGGACAGAAACUAGAAGUCAUAACUUCCCAUCAGGUCAGAGCUAUUCUGCAGACAAAGUUACUUGUGGUUAACAGGGAAACAGCUCACUAAGUAUUGAUCCAUGCUCUUCAAUACCCCUGAGGUUGUUAUAAAAACCCACACUAUUAUUAACCCUGAUUCUUUGAUGCCUACAGCCCCAGAAGUGAACCAUUUCUGUUAGCCACUCUUUGUGAACAAGUUAUCUCCCAGACCUAUGCAAGAGGGCAGGACAUCAGUGACCUGCCCCUUCAAAAUCCUGAGGAGGUGUGGUUCACUGGUGGAAGUAGCCUUGUCAAUCAUCUAUAAAGCACAGGCAGAAAAUUGUACAACUAUUAAAAGCACUGGCUCCUUCUUCCCGGGCAGGUUUCGGUCAUUCACUGUAAAGGGUACAAAAGUGAAAUGUCUAAAAAUUCAUUGGGAAAUCAAAAAGCUGAUAGGGAAGCAAGAAGGCUUUAUUCCCAGUUCUUAAGGAUCUAUUUUGGUCCUUUCUCAAGGGACAUAAUGAGAAGCUAUAAAAAUCCUACAUGGGAAGUGGGCCUCACUCUUCUGGAAAGGUACAGAGAGCCAAGCAGACCCUAAAGCAAGCUCUGGCAAAAUGUUGCUAAGAGAAGUCUGAGUCCUGGCUCUGACUGCUGCCAAUACUGCUCACGAGGGUUCACAACAUGCCCAAAACUGGGUUAAGUUUGAGCCCACUUGAGAUGUUACAUGGAAGCCAUUUCUAUCCUCUAAUAUGAUAGUGGAUCCAGAGCCAUAAGACUCUUACAGUAUCUCAUUAAUCUAGUCUAAGUACAACAGGCUAUCCAAAUGUAUGGGCACACAGUCCUCCCAGAUCCUGCCCCAGACAGACCACCCUAUCGGUUCUGGAGACCAAGUGCUCCUAAAAACUUGGAGAGAGGGGACAUUUUGCUGACCAGCCAAAAUGGAAGGGCCCUUAUUACAGCUUGUGUUUAAAUCUCCAAAGCCUCAUGUAGUCAUAGGUGGGGCUUUUUCAGAAGUGGCUGGAUCUAGAGUGUAUGACGCUGGAAGUGACAUGGUAUAAUGCUAGGAUCAAGGGCACUAGGAUUAAGGUUAUGAGUGCUACCCAUCCUAAGUAGCCUGAAUAACAUAUGAGGGAUAGAAAGAACUGUGGUUGCCCCUUGCUGCAUUGCUACCUUUUGCCCACCAAGAACUUUCUCCUCUGCAAGGCCACCCUGGCUUGGA